rnacentral:rRNA from 1 species
UACGUAGGGGCCAAGCGUUGUUCGGAUUUACUGGGCGUAAAGGGCGCGUAGGCGGCAUGACAAGUCACUUGUGAAAUCUCCGGGCUUAACUCGGAACGGCCAAGUGAUACUGUCAAGCUAGAGUGCAGAAAGGGCAAUCGGAAUUCUUGGUGUAGCGGUGAAAUGCGUAGAUAUCAAGAGGAACACCUGAGGCGAAGGCGGGUUGCUAGGCUGACACUGACGCUGACAGCGCGAAAGCCAGGGGAGCAAACGGGAUUAGAUACCCCGGUAGUCCUGGCCCUAAACGAUGAAUACUUGGUGUCUGGAGUUAUUAAUGCUCUGGGUGCCGUAGCUAACGUUUUAAGUAUUCCGCCUGGGGAGUACGCUCGCAAGAGUGAA